UUCCCAGUUCGCGCAAUUCAUCAAGAAACAAUGUGGGGCCACUGGCACAAAUGAUGAGGCAUCUCCCGGAAGCUUAACUUCCUAUCCAUCCCAUCUCUUGGACAGACGAUGCCAGUUAAUUACUUUGAAUAUUCGUUGGAAGAAGAGAAGGGCAUCAAACGAAGAUAACUUGAGCCCAAGCUAAGUCGUCUGGAUGGCCUGGAGCCAUGUUUGAAAAAUUUUACUAUUAAGUAUUGUUUUUACUGAUUAAAUCAAUGAUAACGUUCUUUA